rnacentral:rRNA from 1 species
GAGAUGUUGGGUUAAGUCCCGCAACGAGCGCAACCCUCGCCCUUAGUUGCCAGCAUUUAGUUGGGCACUCUAAGGGGACUGCCGGUGAUAAGCCGAGAGGAAGGUGGGGAUGACGUCAAGUCCUCAUGGCCCUUACGGGCUGGGCUACACACGUGCUACAAUGGUGGUGACAGUGGGCAGCGAGCACGCGAGUGUGAGCUAAUCUCCAAAAGCCAUCUCAGUUCGGAUUGCACUCUGCAACUCGAGUGCAUGAAGUUGGAAUCGCUAGUAAUCGCGGAUCAGCAUGCCGCGGUGAAUACGUUCCCGGG